UGCUCUGUGGCUAAGUUGGUUACGGCGUCCGACUGUUAAAACCACACUUCCAAGCGGAGUCAAGAAACCAUCGGAAGAUCGUGAGUUCGACCCUCACCGGAGCAG